AUACGGAGGGUCCGAGCGUUAUCCGGGAUCAUUGGGUUUAAAGGGUCCGUAGGCGGGAAUCUAAGUCAGUGGUGAAAUCUUGCAGCUCAACUGUAAAAUUGCCAUUGAUACUGGAUUUCUUGAAUUAGUGUGAAGUGGUUAGAAUGUGUAGUGUAGCGGUGAAAUGCAUAGAUAUUACACAGAAUACCAAUUGCGAAGGCAGAUCACUAACACUAUAUUGACGCUAAGGGACGAAAGCGUGGGGAGCGAACAGGAUUAGAGACCCCAGUAGUCC
rnacentral:rRNA from 1 species